GACGUUCCUGCCAUGGGACCCGAGGAUCCAGGUCCAAGAGGAAGGUGCUGUGAGGUCCCGCUUCAUAAACCUCCCAGGGAACAACUGGAGCCACGGAGAUUCGAUGAAGCAGCAACCGCAGGGCCAGAUGCCCAGGCAAGCAGAUGCUCCAGGAACCUUGUAUGAAGCCGAAGAAACUCCGGCUCCCAGCUUGUGAAUGAAUCCUCCUGAAAUACCCGCUGGCGCCCAGCAGGCCUCACCUCAGCGAGACCUCAACUGGCUGGAGCUAGUAAGAGUGUGAAGACAUCAGGGAGCCAUUCUGGCACGCAUCUUGGAGCAAGGGAAAGCAGACAGAUUUUGUUAGCAUUUGAGCCUUCUGUUGCAGAAAAGGGGAUGAUAGCAGAUUUCAACGGGUAGAUAGAUAGUAUUAAGUUUUAAAAGUUAUAGCGAGUUUGUUGAGUUUCAUUCAUUAAUUUAUUGAACAAACAGUUCCUGAUUGGUUAGUAUCUGUUAGAAAGUACAAUUACAUGUUCGGAGUUUGGUGCACACAUAUCCCGACAGGAGGAGUUUGGUUAGAUGACAGAAGAGCCUAGUCUGAGACCCAGUGUACAGCGGGGGUGUCACCUCUGCCCCGCAUGUACUAGGGCUUUGGGGCAGACCCAAGAGAAAUAAGACCAAGAUCCAUUUCGGUGAUUCCGGAGGCGACACCUCCAUGGCAGGACUGGAAUGACUGUACUGCUCAGCGCAUUAGUCCCAACGGGGAUGGAUAGGCAGUGGGAGAUGGGGAAAGUAGCCUCACAAAAGUAGAGGCGGGACUUUUCUGAUAAUCCAGCUGAUUUCCUCCCUUGAGAAGGACAGUCAUUUUCCCGGUCAUCUGAAAGGGCUACAUACUUGAGCCCCCAGCCUCGGGCUUCUGCCACCCCAAGCCCCUUUCCAGUCAAGAAGAGAUGAAGAACAAAAUGGAUUCCAAGGGCAGACAUCGUGCUAUGGACGGUGCUUCUCUUGGGAAGGCUAGUUGGAUUAAAAUAGAACUGGACUGGGACAAGCAUUUUGGGGAAGGCCCCAGGGCCCCUUCUCUUCCGCUGGGUGCAUUCUCCGCAGGCUCUCCCACUCCCCUGAGGUGGGGGGAGUCCAGGGGGUGGGAAGUUAGAUGGUCUCCAGUCUGAACAAAAGGUGUUCUUGAGUUCCCCCAGGAAACCCCAGCUCACUAAGCUCAAACUCUUGUCAGAGGUUUUUGACUGUAACAAUAAAGAGUGUGCACUGGC